GGGUCAGUAGGUUGGUCGUGCCACCGGUACGUACUGGUCACACUGAUUCCUCCUUCCUGAAGAACCGUAGUGCCAUUAAUUUGGUGUUGCGGGGAAACAGGACUGUUACUUUGAAAAAAUUAGAGUGUUUAAAGCAAGCUAACGCUUGAAUACAUUAGCAUGGAAUAAUGAAGUAGGACGAUCGAUCCUAUUUUGUUGGUUUCUAGGAUUGACGUA
rnacentral:rRNA from 1 species